rnacentral:rRNA from 1 species
UACAGAGGGUGCAAGCGUUGCUCGGAAUUACUGGGCGUAAAGAGCGUGUAGGCGGUCAGGCAGGUCGGAUGUGAAAUCCCCGGGCUCAACCCGGGAACUGCAUCCGAUACCACCUGGCUAGAAUGCGGAAGAGAGAGGUGGAAUUCCCAGUGUAGAGGUGAAAUUCGUAGAGAUUGGGAGGAACACCAGUGGCGAAAGCGGCCUCUUGGUCCUGCAUUGACGCUGAGACGCGAAAGCGUGGGGAGCAAACAGGAUUAGAUACCCUGGUAGUCCACGCCGUAAACGAUGACUACUCGGUGUUGUGGGUACUCACCCCCACAGUGCCUAAGCAAACGCGAUAAGUAGUCCGCCUGGGAAGUACGGUCGCAAGACUAAA